rnacentral:lncRNA from 1 species
UUAAAUAUUUGGAACCUAUAAAAUUAGCUCUCUUACUCCUAUACCUAAGUACACCCCUCUAUUUUCCUUCCUAAAUUUAUUACAAAAUCUAAACCUCACUACAUUCUUACGUCCCUCCUCUGUCCAAGAAGGUUUCAACUAUUGUUAAACCUGUUUUCUAAAACAAAAAAUUAAGUUAAAAAAAUAAGAAUAAAAAACAAAAUAAACCUAUAUAUAGUACCUCGUGUUCGUAAAGAUUUAUAAAUUGAGCGAGCCUGCUAAGAAUCAAUACAACCUACCAAAUAUUUUUAAAAUCUCGUUCAAACUUAAAUCGUAUUAGUACAAUAUCAUUCAAACAUAGCAAAAAACAAUUUCUAAUUUUAAUAAUACCUUUGUUACUGAAAUUUCUUCAAACUUGAAAAUACCAAUAUUGAUCCAACUUCGAGGAGUUGAAUCUUCAAUAAGUUGUACAUUACAAAAACUCAUUCAACCUUUCCAUGCCACACUCUAUGCACUCAACCUUUCCAAGACAUUAACAAAAUUUUCACUUGGCACAACCAUAUAUAGACAUACAAUUAGAUAUCAAUAUAUA